rnacentral:lncRNA from 1 species
UAGCAUUGGAAAUGUAAUUGAAGAAAAUACGUAAUAAAAAAAAAGAAAAAAAAAAAAAGAACAUUGUUGAAGUUCUAGAAGAUGUGGAAGGCAUGAACGAAGUCAUACUGGAGAGAAAGAAACCCUAUGUUAGAAGUGUAUGGCGAGUCCCAAACAAAUCACACCAUGCAGCAGGUCUCAUGUGGAAGGUACAGCAAUGAAUCAAUUUGAAAUUAUUGAGUGGCCGACAUUGUAACACAGAGGAAUAAUGUUCUGGAAGUCUCUCUUAAAUUACUGACAUCAGAUAUUUGAAAAUGAAUAGCUGUGAAAUGUGCCUACAGAGUCUAAGCUGCAACGCAAGAACAGCCCAGUUCAUAGAAACCCUGCCCAGGAGAUGCUUCUGGGCACAGUUAGGACAGCCUGGCCUGCAGACCCCUCAGCAUCUCAAGGGAAAAAGAAUGGGAAGCCUUUUCUCACAGGUUCUGUGACUAUACAGGCUCCACAGAGGCUCCACAGAGGCUGUGUAAUCCCCAGGGGCAUCCCUGGCCUGACUGGAAAGUCUUGAGCUUGGGAAACCAUAAAAG